AGAACCUGUGACUUGUUCUUAACCAACAGACUAUGACAAAGAGAUCUAAAAUGAAUCAAGGCAUUUCUUGAAAUUCAAUGGCUUUUUUUUUCAUUUGGGAAUGUUCAAAUGUAUGUUAAUAAUCUUCCUGUUCACCCCACUCAACAACUGGCUCGUCAUUCAUACGCAAAAUGAGGUAAGAAAGAAGCUGAAAAAGAUUCUGCCAGAAUAAGAGAGAGACAUAAAAGGAGAGGCUGCUUACGUCCACCUCGCAGCGCUCGCCAGCAAAGGCAACAUCACAGAGGCACUGGAAUUUGUUGACAGGUCACAGAUUGCCUGAAGCCAUUGACCAACUCCAUUUUAAGAAUUCCUGUAUGAGGUGAAGAACAGUUGAAGAGUUUCUCUGGGAAAAGUAGACUCAUAUGGAUAAGAGCUGAACUCCAGUUGCCCUGCCAAGACUUGCUGCUCCCUAUGUAAUAAUUCAUAGCUUCGAAGAAUGCAAGCCAAAUGCUGUCCAGGAGCUUUGUAUAUAGCACACGAUGGUAACUGCAUGUGAAUUCAGAGUGUGG
ensembl:lncRNA novel transcript